GGAGUUAGCCGGUGCUUCUUCUGUGAGUGAUGUUCCUUCCUGCCGGCUAUUAACCCGCAGGCCUUCUUCCUCACUGAAAGUGCUUUACAACCCGAAGGCCUUCUUCACACACGCGGCAUGGCUGGAUCAGGGUUGCCCCCAUUGUCCAAUAUUCCCCACUGCUGCCUCCCGUAGGAGUCUGGGCCGUGUCUCAGUCCCAGUGUGGCUGAUCAUCCUCUCAGACCAGCUACGGAUCGUCGCCUUGGUGAGCCGUUACCUCACCAACCAGCUAAUCCGACAUAGGCUCAUCCGAUAGCGCGAGGCCCGAAGGUCCCCCGCUUUCCCCCGUAGGGCGUAUGCGGUAUUAGCCUGGGUUUCCCCAGGUUAUCCCCCACUACCGGGCAGAUUCCUAUGCAUUACUCACCCGUCCGCCGCUCGCCACCAGGGAGCAAGCUCCCCGUGCUGCCGCUCGACUUGCAUGUGUUAGGCCUGCCGCCAGCGUUCAAUCUGAGCCAGGAUCAAACUCUGA
rnacentral:rRNA from 1 species